AAAAUGUAAUUAAAUGUAACUUAUAUAAUUUGGCAUAAUGGGCCAAAGUCUCUACGCUAGACCUAUCUAGACGCUACAAGUUGCUUUAAGAAGUAC
rnacentral:ncRNA from 1 species